rnacentral:lncRNA from 12 species
CUGCAAUAUUGCACAGAUGCCACGGUGCCAAAAGUGACCGAAGGGAUAGAGCAAUGGUAAAUGGAAUUCAUUGGAAUAGGUGGGGAGAUUCUCACAGCAGAGCCUUCUCUGGCGGCUGGUGCAAUACAAGGGGACAGGGACAUGGCUUUCUCAAU